rnacentral:rRNA from 1 species
AUUGAACGCUGGCGGCAGGCCUAACACAUGCAAGUCGCACGAGUGGCGGACGGGUGAGUAAUGUCUGGGAAACUGCCUGAUGGAGGGGGAUAACUCCUGGAAACGGUAGCUAAUACCGCAUACCAUCGGAUGUGCCCAGAUGGGAUUAGCUAGUAGGUGGGGUAACAGCUCACCUAGGCGACGCUCCCUAGCUGGUCUGAGAGGAUGACCAGCCACACGGGAACUGAGACAAGGUCCAGACUCCGAAGGGAGGCAGGAGUGGGGAAUAGUGGACAAGGGGCGGAAGCCGGAUGCAGCCAUGCCGCGUGUAUGAAGAAGGCCUUCGGGUUGUAAAGUACUUUCAGCGGGGAGGCGUUACCCGCAGAAGAAGAACCGGCUAACUCCGUGCCAGCAGCCGCGGUAAUAC